UGCCGAUUCGUCUAGUGGUAGGACACCAGAUUCUGGAUCUGGGAGCGCGGGUUCGAAUCCUGCAUCGGCAGCCA
rnacentral:tRNA from 1 species